AAAAUGCAUCCUUAUAUUUCAGUUCUGUUUUGGAGUUGCUAGGAACACAGCUCCGAUAGUGCCGGUGAUAAGUUUAUUGACAGUCUGGGGGCAGGCUAGAGCAGGGAAUAGGGAAUGCAAAUCCUCCUGUCUGUGUUUACAUCUGGGGAUAGCCAAAGUAUGAACUUGUAGUUUCUUAAUUAAUUCUCCUCUGUGGUAUAGAAGUGCACAUCUGUGACCUUCUGCAAAACCGCUUUAUCAAAGAGCAUCAGCUGAGUGUGUAAUGACCUGACUUCCUUCUCUUGUGUUGUCACAACUUGAUAAAGGACACAGUACAGUACUAUUUCAUGCACUAUUAUGAAACUAUAUGAUUUAAAAUUCCAGAUUGCUAACAUGAAAAGCUUAUUUGUGACAGAGGCUGAGAAACUUUUUUUCACUGGUUGUUUUUUAUUCAGUGUCUUCCAGUAUCACUAGGUAGAGUCCUAGCCCUGGUGAGGUUCACUGGAGGGAAAAGAUGCCUUUGGACAGGCAGGUAUGUCUGUCUCGCUUUGCAUUGCUUCCUGAAAACCAUCUCAGUUUCCUUAGUUACUAGGAGGAUUUGCUCAAAAUCAGUGUAAGUACUGUGACAGCAAAAGAAAAUGAAUCUGUAAAAAGUAAAGACAAAAUGAAAACCUUAUUUGGUGCAUCCCCUGACAAUGUGGGGCUGCUCCCUGCAGCCUGACUGCAAUAGCUUUGUUCUAGUCUCUGUCUGUCCGAGUGUUAUUUUAUUUUGUUAUUUGUGCACAUGUUCUCUUAGGAUUUAACUUGAAAAAACAGAAGCUGGAAAGAUGGAAGAUUAGCAGGCAGGGAAAAGAUGGGGAAAAUAAGCUAAAUGACUUUGAAGUUGUUGCGUAGACCUUAUCUUAAACUAUCUGAAUUCCUCCCAUUGCUUCCAUCGUUAAACUACUUCUCUUUCCUUUUUCUUCCCAUAGAAGUCUGUAGCAGCCGUUCCACUAUCCUUAAACCCAUAACCUAUCUAUUGCAGCAUUUGACCCCUUCCUUUAGCCAUUUUGUAUCUAAGAUAAAUAAAGGAAAUUAGAACUUGGGCCUGAGUUCAACAAAGCACUUAAAGAUAGUCCUGUGUAUUUUGUUUGAAAAAAAAAAAAAAAAGGACUUCAGCAUAAGCCUGAUUUUAAUGAUAUAUUGAAAUUCUUGGCUGAAUCAGGCUCUUAGUCACGUUUCCUUCAUGUAGAUAUUGCUGAAUCUCAGCCUUUGAAAUUAUCCGUGGGAUCAAAAUCUUUAGGUUACUUUCAUAUUCCCAAAAUAGACAUCUAUGGAAGUACAAAUACUGUCAGAGCUUCUGUUAGGAUUUUGCAUUACUUAAAACUAUUUGCUUUUUUGGAUGGGGUUCUGCUUAAGCUUUGCAAGUGAGAACUUGGAGAACUGAAAAGCACGUGGUAUUGACAAGCUGAAUCUUAAUGGCUUGUAUUAAUGGUAUCUGAUGUUUAAUGGUUCUAAUAAUUCGUAAUUUCAAGGAUUUUUCUCCAGUGUAUACUCAGCCUUGUCUCUGAAGUCUGUGGGAGUUUUGCUGUUAAGUCAGUGUAAGAAGGCUCACUUCUUGAAUUAUUUCAUGGAUUGAUAGCAUCGUUUUAAAUUUUUCUGUCCAAUCUGUCUUUAUUAAUUUCCCUGGCAUUGUGGUUGACAGUCUCUUAGAUUUCAUCAAUAAAAGUUGUUUUCAUGUUUUGUCUCAUAAUGCACAGAUGAAUUUCUGAAUAUUGUGGAGAGAAAUAUGAAGGCCAUUAUAGCUAAAUGACAGUCUGCAAUGCACAGACAACUGAUAAAUAGCAUGUGGAAGGCAAGGGGGAGAAGCAGGGGAAAGUUCUAAAGAUAACAUUCUUCAGAUUCAUGUGUCUUUACUAUGGACCAUGGACGGAAAGAGAUUCAUAUCUUCAUUACUGUGUGUUUUUAAUUUUUUUUGGCAGCAGGAAGAAAUAUUUUCCCAAACUCCCCUAUUGUUUGCAGAUUCCAUUAUUCUCCCUAUUUUGGCAGACACAAACAAAAUUCCUAGCCAAAUAUUAGGGAUAAUUAGAUCCCUUUUUGUUGGGCGCCGCCUUCAGAAGUUGAUGACUGCAUCUCUUCAUAUGACUGCUAAUGACCUCUCUCCUAAGAGGGACUGGCAAACGUUCUGUAUUUGCUUGUGAGAUGACCUCUUGUUGUAUAUGGGACCAGGAUAAUUUUUUUAUUAAAAAAGACAUCUAGUGCGGAGCAGAGCUUGUCAUGAACAAACAUUAAUAGAGUUUAAUUUCUGUGCCUUGUCAUAUAAACCAUAUAUAGCCAAGUAAUCCAUUCUACGUAAAGAAUUGAGAUAACAGUUCAUAGUCUAUGAAAACUCUGCACAAUAGUGUAUUUUACCAAGCAGCUUGGGCCUGGAGGUUUGUUUUGUAAGUGUUGUUCUGCACUGAUGUUUUUUUUGUCUGCAAAUAGUUGGACUAUUUCUGGAAGCAUGACAGCCAUUUCAAUAUUAGUGCAGUAGCUCAAGUGAGUUGCAACCAUGUGAAGACUAUUGUGCUGAUGUACCUUGGAGGGAGCAAAAUUCCACAUUUAAAGUAUGCUCAUAUUAUGUCUUUCUUGAGACAUUGGACCUCAACAAAAAAAAUAAAUAUAAUAAGUCUAUAUACUAGUUGCCUACUUUUCUUCCUCCAUCUCCUUUGAAAUGCAGUCAAAGCAAGAUUCUUCUUGUAGGACUUCAGGGAAAUGGUGACUGAGAAGUGUUAAGCUUCAAAUCAAGCUCUGCAUGAAUCUCUGAAUUCGGUCACUGUGUUCAAACUGAUCAAACCUUACAGAGCAGUUUAGUUCUUGUUUGAAUAAUAAACACACAGGUUUGAGUGAAGUUGACUCAGCUCUUUCCAUAGAUGUGACCUGAACAUGGUGUCAGUGGAGGAUGCUCCAUUCAAAGCAAAGAAGUAGAUCAAGGUAUUACAAGUCCCUUUACUUCUCCAUAUCACUGAAUGUCUCCUCUCUUCUGCUUUUUUCCCUUCCUGUCAAUUGUUUUUUCAUUUGUUACUGGGUGAUGCUGAUCCAGCAGUACCUUGUACUGCAAAGCCCAGCAGGGAUGGGAUGUGAGUGAAGGGAUUCAGGAUUCUUACGGAUUGCAACAUCUACAGCAGUCACCUGAGGCUCUGGUCUCAGAAAAGAGAAAGCACUGAGCUUUUGAGGGACGCACCUAGAUGAAUGUGGACUCGAAUGCAGCUUAGGAACCAUCUAUAGUGUACAUAUCAGAGUUACAAGUUUGUCGUUUUUUUUCUAUUUUUAGUGUUUACAAAGUAGAGAGAAUUGGGGAUCGAAAUCUAUUUUCUUUCAUUUCAUUGUUGUAAUUCUCUUGAUCAGGCUUCUCUUGCCUCUUACAGAUUGACCUAGUGGAAAAGUAGAUGAUACAGAAAGCUUAUCUCAAAAAUAGUAAGGUAGUCAAAAGGUGGCUAUUGGAUGCUGAGGAAAGCAAACUUUGCAGGGAAAGAAAAUGGUUUUUGUUGGGCUGCCUGUGCUAGCUGAGUAAAAUAGACAUGCUGUUGGGCUCACAGGCCCUUUAUUGGGUCUCUAGAUGCUGCCAUUUAUGUUAUGAAAUUACAUAAGAGGCAUUUUUCUGCUUUGAUAGAUUUUUCUUUUUUUAUAAUUCGUGCUAAAAAUACAUUUUAAGAUGUUUUCCUUAUUCUCUGCAAUUUCAGAAGUCGUACACUAGUUCCUGUUUAAAGCAUGGGAUUUUAAGUUAUUGGUGAUUUUGAUACCUGUUCAAGGAAUCUGUACUGAAAUAACACAGAGGUAAAUGUAUCCCAUAUAGGCCAUUCUAGAUUGUGGAUUCCUCGGGAUAUAAUAUAACUUGAAAACCUUUGAUCCCUUUGGGAUUCAGAAUUGCUGAGCUAUCUGAUAGAUUAAUAGUUUAGAAAUGUGACUGCGUUGUGUGGUUCAAUUCUCUAGUCUGGAAAAGUAUUUACAGAAUUUCUUGAUCUCCUAGUGCGUAGUCCCGUGUAGUUCUUUGUGUUAGGAUUGCCCACAGCAGGUACCGUUCAAGGAGUCUCUUGGGCUUGGGGAAAUGUAUUUAGCAGACUCAGACACUCCAUAGCUCCUGAGUCUGCAACAAAAAUUUCACAAAACCCUUGAGUGAAGAAGGGGAAUAAAUACAAAAGGGUAUUAAUUUGGCUUUUUAUGGCAGCCUGCAUGAGACAUGUCAGCAUUAAGAACUAUUACCUUAGACUCAGCAAUGUUAAACUUGUGUCUUUAUCUGGGAACAUUUUUAUUGAUCUCAUGUCUCUGGAUGUUAUGUCAGCAGGAUGGGCUAUUACUAAGAAAGUCUUUCAGGAGAUGAAGUAAAUGCUUGAAUAACCCCCAGAUUGCUUCAUGCUUGAAUAUCAUACAAGAGCACAAUGAAGUGACUUAAGGAAAUUCUUUUCCUAGCACCUGAAGCAAAGACAAAAAAUCAUUUUUAUUCCCUAAAAUCUCGUGCACUUUAAACAGACUUUCCUGCAAACUUUUCAGUGUUCCGUUCGCUUAUUUUUUUCAUUGUUGGUUAGCUUAUUUUUAAUCUGUUUUUUACAAUUAUCUUUUUUUUUUUUUAGUUGUGUGUAAGGGUGAAGUUUCUAUUUUGUUCCUUUUUAUGUUGUUUCCCCUUGAUAGCUUAAUUGAAAGCAUUCUGAUAGGACAUUGAUUUUGGCUUCUAUUUGCUGUAGCCAGUCUCAGAAGCUCAUAAUGCAAAGAUUAACACUCAUUAACUGAAUCGCAGUUGCAGUUCAUAAAAAUUUGUGUGUAUGCUGUGUUUGUGAUCAUGAUGUGCCUUGUAGGAUUGAUUAAAUGUGGAGACAUAUUGCUUGCUUUCAGGUGGUGUUGCAAUUUCAUUUAAAAGAAACCUGAAGUGGCUCCUUUCGCUACCAGAUCUAAUGGUACAUUCAACAAUUGUUAAUGACUUAUAAACAAUGUGAUGUUACUCAAGAAAAAAUGAAACAAGAUAACUUCUUAAAUGGAUGUAUAAUUUCAAGUUUCUCUCUUCCAUAUCAGUUUAAAAUAGCUUGUUUUUCCUAGCAAGGAUGGUAUAAUGGAACACCAGGAACCUUAGUACUGGUAGGUGAUCCUAUGAAUACAAAGUUUUUUAAGCAUGGUAAACUUGUUACUCUUCAGUUUUGUUUGUUUGUUUUUCCCCAAAUAAAUAUAUAUAUGUGUAUAGGCAAAUCUAUAUCCAUAACUCUAGCCAAUAGCAAGGGCAGAAGGAAGAUACCAAUUCUAGUUACUGUAAUAUGGUUCUUAUGACACCGCUUGCAACCUUCUUGUAGGAAUUGAUGACAUUUAUCAGUUCCUUUAACUUUCAAAGCAAUACCUACAGACAUGUCUGGAUUCUGCAUGUGAUAAACUGAGGCCUAGAAUUAGAAGUUGCAAAAGAAUGUAUAUUUUCUGAAUUCCUAAGUUAUGUUGUAUUGGUUAAACAAGGCCCAGUUGUGGAUGACCUAAUAAAACCUCAUUAAAGUUGGCUUUUCCUACUCUAAGAUGUCUGUGUUUGUGAUGCUUGAUUUUUUUUUGUUCUUGUGAUGCUUUUUUUUUUUUACUGUAUUCAUCUGUUCUUAUUUAUUUCAGAAUCCCCAUAGUAGAUGAGCAAACCUAUUCUCACAUGCAAAAAAUCGGUCCUUUUGAUAUUCCUGCUGAAUAAAGAUGAAAAUACAUGGAUCCAACUCUACCAAAAUAGGAGGGAUUAUUUUGCUAGAAGCUGAAAGUGUGUCCAGAGUAACAUAAGGUUAUACAGAGCUUGACAAGAAUAAAUACUUUAUUUGGGAGUUAUAAAACGUCUUUGACAUUGGAGCUUGGGAAUGUAAGUGGAGCCUUAGCUUGUAGCUAUCCAUGUAUAUCUAAAUCAGUGCAAGUCAUGCCUGAAAGCUGCUGCUAUAUAUAGUUUGCUCAGUGGUCAGGGUGGCGGGUGGUUGGAGUUCUUGGAGCAGUUUUGAUGGGAUAGGUACCUGUGCAGCAGAAAUACUCAUACCUCAGAGGCUUGUUGAAACCAGUACUGGUGGUUUUACUUGGGCAGAGCAAAGUCUGAGUGGGAGUGAAAUCUGAAAUCCCUCCUGACCUUUUGGAAAUUGCUCUGAAAAGUUUGCCUGUGUAAACAUACACAGAAGACUAGUAGAUACUCCUGAGCUUUUAUGGAUAAUAGUUUCAGAGGUUGUUGAUCUCUUCAGUGAGUUACUCUUUAGAAAUGACUGAAGGCUGUUUAUGAUGUCUUAGCUUUAAAUGCCAUAUCCGCAUGUUUUCCACACGUAGUGAUGUUACAGAAUUUGGAUUGUUUAAACAAUCUUUGACCAUUGUUUUUGCUUCAGUGUUGUGGGAAAUGAGAGUAUUUUAGGUAUAUCUCAAAAGCAGGAAAGCUACCCAAUUUUGGUAGUGAAUUCCUAGGUUUCAGGGAUAGUUAAUAUCAUAAGUAAUACAAAAGCAAGAUGGAAAUCAUGUUUGUAGGUCCUUUGGAAACAUGAUAGUGUAUUACAAUCUAAUAUUAUAAUACAAAAAAAGAACUGCAGGAGAAACGUGUAGGUCCUACUAUCCUGUUAAUUUUUUUCAACUAUUUCACCAGAUAUCAAUGUGAUUUUUCUGGUCUCCUCUUGUGCUGUUCUGUGCUCAUCUCUGAUUUUUUCAGUGCAUCCAGAAGCCAAAAGCCAUAAAAGAAGCUAACAUUUGUCAGGUGGGAUUUUGGGUUGCUUGUGUUAUGCUGAAGAAAAUCAAUGAGUAGGUUAUUGGAAAGUGUGCGGAGGAAUAUGUGAAGAUGCUGAUGUCCAGUGGCGUGACUGGAAGGAAUGCUUGAGAUGCUUUUAGCAUUUGUACUGGAAUGAAGGGAGGCUUAUGAUCACACCUGGGUUCCUUCAGGAAUGUCAUUGCAAAAGGGAAGAGCUCCAGAAUCACAAAGUGGCCCCCAGAGAGUCUCAAAUGUAUAAGUUUCACUUGGCAUAAAUCUGUGUUCAGAAAGGAUUUUACUGAGGUGACAGUAGAAUUUUUCUUUUUAUUGUAUGAUUCUUCUAGUAAAUGUUAAAAUGUUUUACUUCUGGUGAGCUUUUUUCUUGCUCAAAAAAUGCUCCUUCAUUGUUGUGAAAUGAAGCUGAUGCGUAUAAAGCCACAGUCCUUUUAAAAUUGUGUGCAUGUGCACAGUCCUAGGACAUCCAUUGGCUAUUUCUACCUUAUGAACAAUGAAUAUACUGUGGGGGUGUUCACUUACAACAUCUGAAUGUAAAUCACGCGUAAAAACACCUUCAUAACUCUUUAAGUUAUAGAUACGUUGAUACAAGUUAGAUUUCCAGAUAAAGCUUCUGUCUUAAAAAACAAAUUGCACAAAUCCUUAAUGCGUUCUUUUGACCACUUCCUUUUGGGUGUGUGCAUUCUUAAAAUUACCUAGAAAAUUUAUUUGUUGCAUUCUUAUUCAUAAAUAGAAGUUGGAAGAGAGUUAAUUUUAUUCCAUUUUUAAGAACCUGUUAACUUCAAAAGAAGAGAGGUUUUUCUUUGUGGCUAAUUUUGGAGAAAACUGUAAUUCUGGUUUUGGUAUCAAAGUCUUUAAGAGGCAGAGAAAUCAGAAAGGGAAACAGCUCUCUAGGCAUUGAAUGGUUCUGACUGAAAUGUACCUUGGCUUUUGAAAUGUGUGGUUCCUACUGGACAUGCUCAAAUGUUUCAUUACGAUGUGGUCACUUCCAGAGUAGCAUUACAUCACCGUAUUUGCAAAGUCACUAUGUUACAGUCGUCUUUACAUCCAGAAGAGCUCUCAAGUGGGAGAUCAAAUUGUAAGCAUUACAUAAUCAGAACAAAGUCUUUAUUGGUUGAUUGUGCCCUUCGGGUGGGAUGUUGAAUAGCAGUUGCAUAUGGAAGAUGUAAUCGUGCAAAAUUAACCAUUCCCUAACCAUCCUACCAACAACUGUGAAGUUUAAAUAAUUGACUGGAGAUAGAAUUCACUUGGGAAGGGUGUAACUUUAGAAAAUAAGGUUUUAAAAUUGGUUAAGGGUUCACCUUCUUUCUGUAAACAAGAGAAAGAGCCAGAAGAGGUUUUACAGAUCUGUUUAUAGACCAGUUUGCUGGAAUUUCAUGUAGUGUAAUUCCUGUUGUUAAUGAAUUCAAAGGAGGCAGACCAAUUUCCACUCAGUCUGUGGUUUUAAUUUAUUGCAAAAUGAUCCACUUAAAAAUACUGGAAAGAUACUUUUUGGUUAUGGAAUAUUAAAUUUGUCUUUCAAAGCUAAUUUAAGCUCUUUUUAGAGCUAUUCACUUGUUAAGGACCAGAUGUACAAAAUUACUGUUAUGUGUCUGGCAAGUUUAAUCAGCCCAGUUUCGAACUGAUCUGUGUUUUCUUUUUUUUGUGAAAGGUAGCAUACAAUUUAUAGUUCUCAAGGUAUCUGAAAGUGAUACUGAAGUUUGGUCUUUUAUCGAUUGUCCCGGUAUUUUGUGUGAUCUCAGUCUAAAUUUAACGAAGCUUGACUCCAUAAACCUUAACUUAAAUAAAAUAAAUGGUAAGUCCCUGCUCUGUGGGAAAUGAAACUGCAUUAAAAAAAUCACAAAAAGUAAUACUUAAAAGACUGAGCUUUAGGUUAUGAUGAUUUACAGGUGAUUUUUCCUGUGUUGUCUUAACAUACUUUUUUGCAUGCCUUAAGGGUAUAAUUGCACCAAACUUUGAAAUUAAGACUGCUAGUCAGCCUUUGGGUAUGCAUGCCUUUUACACCACACUGUUUUUUAGUGAGAAGUCCGACUGAAUCUAAGGCUAUAGAUUUUGCUUCUCCUUUUCAUCCUGCCCUGUUCCCAGACUGAAUUAAGCACCAGUGUGAAUCAUCCAUCAGCAUUGACUUCCCUUUUGAGAUAUAUGGGCUGGAGAGUGUGAACUUGUUGGCAACUUUUUUGUUAAUGUGCCUGUUCUGGUGUGUCCUCAGAAACAACUAAAUUUGAUAUGGUCACUUCACAGAAUCCCCCAGUUCUUUGUCCAGGUCAAUUCCAGAUGGUCAAUGAUCCCAUAAAAUGUUGAGACAAGAUCCUGAUUUUGAAAGUGCAGGCUUCAAAAUAUUAAUCUUGGUACUUCGCUUUGUGUUGUGAAGCCCUUUUUGUUCUUCCAUCAUAGUGAUGGAAGUAAGUUGUGGUGGUUUUCUUCAAUUUUCACUGCUGAAUCAGCAGAAAUUGGACAGUUUUUGAGCUGUUAUGUUUGUUUGUCAAGCAAUAUAAUAUUAGCUUAUUAACUUCCAGAGACAAUGAGGUUGAUAUUGGUAAGGGCAAUGACUUACAGCACUGAGGAUGAUUAAGAAGCAAAGAACAACCUUUGACUGUGGGUCUGCUUCUCAAUUUCUCUGAGACUUAAUGAAAACAUUAUUCUGCAUGGCCUACAGUUAGUUUUGCAGGACAUCUUGGAAGCUACCAACAUAAAGUCCAGGAUAAAAACUGUGUUUAAAAAGCAAGAAAAAUUAACCAAGUGUUUUCAGGUGGAGUUCUCUCAAUGGCAAAACGCUAUGUAAAAGCAAGCUGUAUUGCAUCAUUUCUAUUCUUAGCACCAACACACCUUAAAUUUUGUAAGGAUGUGGGGUUUUUUAGUUGUUGGUUUUUGAUGUGAUUAACAAACUUUUUUUUUGCAUUUUUACUUGUUUUGUUAUGUUCUUGAGAAUUUAAAUGGAGGCAAAAGGUAAUUCUUCAGCCUCUGCUCGUGAAAUUUAAUUUCAGUAAUUUUCUAGCAUUAAAUGUUUUUUUUGUUUUUUUUUUUUCUUUGAAAACUGUCCAUCUCCUUACAUAGGAGACAAAUCAUUUUAGUUUAAUAAUAUUUUUUAUGUCAUGAGAGACUGGGGGGGGAGGUGUAACUUAUCUGGACACUAUCCAAGAAAUCUGUCUUUUGUGCUGUGUUUGUCAUUGAGCGAUUCCUGGAAACGCUUGGUUAUUUUUAACCUGUUUUUGAGAAUAUUUCUUGAUGGACGAACUUCCUGCUACCCCUCUUUAGCAUUAGCAAGGUUGAAAGGUAGCUGCUGGCAUCCAUUUUAGGGCAUUGCUUUUUUUUUUUUUUUUUUUUUUUUUUACUGAGUUACUAGAGUGCUUAAGAGUGCUUAAGAUAACGUAGCCCCAUGGGCGGCUGCUCAGCCAGGUUUGCAGGGUGCCAGAAUAACCACCCUCAGGAGAAUGGAUUCCUUAGCAUAGUGGGAAUUGAAGUCAUCGAGCUGACUUGCUUUUUUGUUGUUUGUGCCUGCUGUGUUUUCCCUCCAUUCAUCUUUUACUGGUUCGCUUUCCUCUUUGAAGAAUUAUGUGCAUGGUUUGAUCUAUUCAUGGUCUUUUUUAUUUUGAAGGGAAAAACAAGAGCAAGGAUUCUGAUGUGUAUGUUUUUUGAGGUCCACUGCUCUGAAAUUGUGAAGUGUGCACCUAGGCUGACCCCGGGGAAGCAGGAGUUCCAGGGAGAGAGGCUGCAAACCACUGGUAAACUGAGCAAUGAGUUUACAGGAAAAGAAUGUUGGAUCACCAGUGUUGAUGCUUGGGUGGCAGAAGAGAGUCAACUGAUGGUGCUUACAUCAUGAUAUUCCACAACCAUGAAGCUGUAGUCACAAGAAGUGACACUUCUACGGUGUGAGAAACUCCACACGAUUUGUAUGGAUGCAGGAAGAUAUCUGAAGAUCUAACGCUGUCAGGAUGACCACCACUAGUCAUGGAGGCAUGAUUCAUCGGUGCUGACCCACCUGUUCUGUGUCCCACCUGUGCUAUGACACAGCAGUGGGUACUAGAUAUUUUGUAGAGGGCCAUAAAUUGGCUUUGGAAAUCACAGCCAUAGGUUCAGCCAGCCUUUCCUAAUGUCAAGAAGGUGGGAAUGAAUGUUUUCUCUGCCAAGACUUUUAACAGGAGUAGGUUUGAACUUCUUUGGGAGGUAGAGCUGUUGAAAUUUUUUCGUCCUUUUGUGCAGUGUCACUGGAGUCGUUUUUUCAGAAUUUAAUAUAGGCUGUGUUGGUUUGCUCUACUGGGAUGAGUUUCUGCUGUGGGUCUUGGGGAUCAGUUUCCUUGUUUACUUCCCCAGCCUACCCAGAUUGCUGUUGUUCUUGUAGAUUCUUUUCUAUGUUGAAAUUGUGUCUAGAGGUGAUUAAGAAUUGCAUGCUUUGAAGGGCUCUCUGGGUAAACUAACAGACUACAAAUCUAAUGCUUUUUAGGUUUUAUUGCAAAUGAUAAUUUAAGGUUUAUAAAUAUUGUAAGAAAAGGAUGUAACGUGAUUAGAGCAGAGAUCCUAUGUAAAUAUUUGGGUUUUAUUUAAGUCUUAGAAUGUCUUCUGAUGCUAUUUUAUACUGUUUCCUUUUGAGCAAACUGUUUGUAUGUUUUUAAAUGAUGUAAAAUCCUAGGAUAUUAGCUAAUUAGUGCGGAAAAAUUAAAGGGUAUUAAAAUAGCUUCCAUGUAGACUAAUGAAUGAAAUAUUUCAACAAUGUAAAUAGAUGACUGUACUUGAAACAUAAACUCACCUUUUGAGAUUAUGGUCUACCAGGUCAGGUUGAGAAUUUUUUUUUUUCCUUUCAUGGAAUAAACAUUGCAAAUUC